GUGGAUUAUGGGAGCAGGGCCAUGAUUCAGAACUAGAGAACCAAGGCAAAGAAGAGCUGAGUGGUACCUGCAAGCUUCUCAGAGCUGGCAAUCAAUUAUGAAAAUAUUUAACUCUGGUGGCUUUACCUCUUCAAGUGUUACUCUUUCGCAAAAGAUCCUGCCCAGAUCAUUAGGAAAGAAACCACUGGAAAAAGUUGAAAAGUACCUAAUCAGAAAAGUAGCUGAAAGAGGUCUUAAAUAGUAGAAAAUGACUCUGAGGAACAGGUUGAGAGGCUUCCUAACCACUGGCCUGCAAUAUUGGCAAAUGGAGAAGCCAAGAGGUAUGGAAAUGUUGGAUGAGCUUUUAGCAAUAGCCAGAGACACUAUGGGGAGAAAAAUCGGUAUGUUCAUUUCUGGCAAGCCAAUUGGCAUGUGUCUUCAUGCUAUUUGUUUUGUGAUAGCAGAUGGCUAGAGAAACUGGAGGAAUUAUGACUCUAAUCAUUAAUUAAAAAAUAAACUUCA